rnacentral:rRNA from 1 species
AUGGAGGAAGCAGCAGCCGGCUCCGGCGAGGAGGAGGUGUACUGCGCGGUGGGGAAGGAGCAGUGGAACUGGAAGGCGAACCUGCGGUGGGUGCUGGCCAACUUCCCCGGCCGCCGCCUCGUGCUCGCCCACGUCCACCGCCCGCCGCACCGCAUCAACAUGAUGGGGGCGUGGGUGCCGGUGAGCCAGGUGGGGGCGGCCAUGGUGGCCGCGUGCAGGAAGUGGGAGGAGGACGAGGCCAGCGAGGCCCUCGACCAGCUCGUCCGCAUGUGCAAGAUCCAGCGGGUCCACGCGCGCAAGGUCAUCGUGUCCGGCGACGACCUGGCGGGCGGCCUGGUGCAGCUCGUCGCCGACCAUGCCGUCGCCGAGCUCGUCAUGGGCGCCGCCGCCGACCGGGCCUACUCGAGGAAGAUGCGGGCGCCCAAGUCCAAGAAGGCGGCGACCGUGCAGCUCAAGGCCAACCCCUCUUGCAGGAUCUGGUUCGUCUGCAAAGGCAAGCUCAUCUGCACGAGAGAGGCCAGUGAAGAGGGGCUGGUAAGCAGAGGAGAGCCAUCCACGGCGAGCACCAGCCCACGCCCAACCGCCUCCGACUGCUCGACAUCGGCAUCCUCGUCGCACCGCCACGGCGAUGGCGCCGCCGAGCGGCUCGGCAUCCACAAUGACUCGGGUGACGCCGGCGAGAUGGACGAUGCGUUGGCGGAGAAGCUCAAGGCCGAAGGGACUCGCCGGGCACCUGUAGCUGCGGUGGAAUCUGUGCCCGUGACAGAUGGUGAUCAAGCUGUAGGUGUCUUGCGGUUCGGUUUGCCGGAGCUGGAGGAGGCGACAGGCCGUUUCGACGAGUCCUCCAGGAUCGGCAAUGCCGGCAUUGGCCGCGCCGGCGUGUACAGAGGGAGCCUGCGCGGCAUGAACGUCGCCGUCAGGGUCAUCUCCCCCGAUGCCGCCGUCGGCGAGGCGCGGUUCGCUCGCGAGGCGGACGCCAUCAGCCGGGUGAGGCACCCAGGCCUCGUGGCGCUCAUCGGCGCGUGCCCGGAGGCGCGCGCCGUGGUGCACGAGCUCGUGCCGGGCGGUAGCCUGGAGGACCGCCUAGCUCAAGGAGGCGACGGGACGCCGCCGCUGCCGUGGAGAGCGCGGUGCGCUGUGGCGUACCAGGUAUGCUCUGUUCUGGCAUUCCUUCACUCGUCAGCGAAGACAGUGCACGGCGACGUCCGCCCGGCGACCAUCCUCCUGCUCGAUGACGACGAGGAGGAGCACCUCCUCACCGGCAGCAAGCUCGCCGGCCUCGGCAUGCGUGGGCUCGUGUCGGAGCAGCGGCGGGCCGGCCGCGAAGCGCUGGCGUACGUGGACCCGCGGUACCUCGCGACGGGGGAGCCGACCCCGCAGUGGGACGUGCACGCCCUGGGCCUGGUGCUCCUCCGGCUGGUCGCGGGCAUGACAGCGCGCGCGGCAAAGAAGGCGGCUCGGGAGGCCGCCGCCGACGGGCGCAGGGGCUGGAGCGAGGUGGUGGCCGCGAGCGCGGGAGGGUGGCCGUUGGAGCUGGCCACCGAGGUCGCGCUCCUCGGCCUGCGAUGCUGCGCCGUGAGCGACGGCCGAGAGCCGUGUCGCCCGGCCGGUGAGCUGCUCGAGGAGGCGCUUACCGUGCUGAAGGCAGCGAUGGACGCCGCACCGGGCAGGACGUGGACGUCAUCACUGUUAUCGUCGUCGGAGACGGGGGCGUCCCACGGCGGCGGAUCAGAGUGCCACCAGCAGCAGCAGCGGGUCCACAAGGUAGUUGAUGCAGCGGCACAAUGA